rnacentral:rRNA from 1 species
CCCUUAGAUGUCCUGGGCCGCACGCGCGCUACACUGAUGCAUGCAACGAGUUUAUAACCUUGGCCUGAAAGGUCUGGGUAAUCUUUUGAACGUGCAUCGUGAUAGGGAUAGAUUAUUGCAAUUGUUAAUCUUGAACGAGGAAUUCCUAGUAAACGCGAGUCAUCAGCUCGCAUUGAUUACGUCCCUGCCCUUUGUACACACCGCCCGUCGCUACUACCGAUUGAAUGGUUUAGUGAGAUCCUUGGAUCGGCCCUGUCGCGGCUGGCAACGGCCGCGUCGGCGCGUCGAGAAGACGAUCAAACUUGAUCAUUUAGAGGAAGUAAAAGUCGUAACA